UCUUCCUAGCCUAGCCUAGCUCUCUGCUCCUGCUUUGGUUUAUUGUUUGUAACCUUCUGCAUUAGCUUUCUGUUUCUAGACUGAGUGUCUUCUAGAUGCUGCGGAAGGAAAGGCAACACAAUAAAUAGGAAUGGUUAGCAUGAAAGAAAUCCUAACCUCCAACAACAGCACCAAUAACAUCAACAUCUCCAGCAACUCUCCAAUGUCUACCCACCCUGCAACUUGGUCUUCAUGGUGACACCCUUGGAUUGUUUGAAAAUGCCUUCUGAGUUUGGACAGUUGCCAGGAUAUGAAAUAAAUCAAAGUGCCUCCUCUUUCCUUGCAAUGAUAAGAAGGCCAAGCACACUAAGAAACAGUGGUAUGCCCUUCCCCUGUCUUGUGCCAUGAGGAUUAACUCUGUGAAAAUAACAGUGAUGCUGAGGUUUGUAUUCUUUUCUUAGACCAUUCUGACCUUAAUGCCCAAAUAAUAUUAAAGACUUAAAUGUAUAUGCACUUUUAUUUGGAAUACUAUUUUACAUUUAUUAAGGAGGGAUAUUCUAGAAAGACAACAGAAGAAGAAUAUUACACAUUACUAUUUGGCAGCCAAUAUAGAAAAAUUACAGUUUUGGGGUCUUGGUGUUUGUCAGAUGGGCAGAUGUUCUCCCUGUGUUUGUGUGGGUUUCCUUCAGGGUUCCCCAAUUUCCUCCCACCUCCCCAAAACGAGCUGGUAGGUGGAUUGGCUACACUAAAUUGAAUGAGCAUGUGAAUGUGUGUGUGCAUGGUGCCUUGCAAAGGACUGUCGUCGUAUCUGGAGUGACUUGUGCUCAGUUUUUCCAGGAUGGACUCCCUGACCAGGAUAAAGCAGUCACUGAAGAUGAAUGAAUGUGCAUCAGAUAGAGUUGCUCUACAGUGUGGGCUCUCUUGUAACCUCACUGUUCUCUCACCUGUGGCUCAUCACACAUAAUUAUGGGAGAGGAGAGGUGUGAGAUGUGUAAGAGGAACCGAAGCCGAGUUCAAAAUGUUUCGGUUAUGUACAGGUACAGAGUUUCAUCAAAAAUACUUCACUGUUCUUAGGAAUCCCUCGGAGUACACUUGAAAACUGAACAUUGGAUCAAAGUUUUUAAAAAUUGCAUUGCAACUUGUUGCAGGUGCUUCUCAACUGAAAAUGAUUUUUACUUUUAAAUGUUGGAAUUUUUUUUUCAGUUGAGAAAAACAAAAUAAACAGUUGAGAAAAUAAAACAUUUUUAGUGUAAUUGAAUAGAAGAUUUCUUAAAUAUAAAUCUACAUGGCCAGGGGUUAGUGUCCAUCUUGCACAAAGCCAUUCAAAGAGCCUCCAUUCCCCUGCUUUACACACUGAAAAUACAGUACAGCUGGGGAUGAAAAUCCCAGAAACAGCUUGGCAGUUAGCAGUAAAACUGGUACGCGUGUCAUCGGUGUGCAUCAUGGUUUGCAGACAUGGACUUUACAGGUGGAAGUACUCCACAAGCUCCACUUAUUAAGAACAAAAUUGGCAAGACCAAAACCACAGAAUUAGACACAAAUGGUCUACAGUGUCAAUGAGGUCCAGGCUCCCUUAGCCACAUGUUUUGGCUGUGUCUGAAAGUCCUCUAUGUGGGGCAUAGUUGUGAACCCCAACCCUUGGCUGUAUUAUCUGGAGUUGUCCCAGGGGAGGUACUAAUAAAAAACACAGGCAGAAUUUAUUGCUUUCUUCAAAAUGUCAGCAAGGCUGAUUCUCCCUAAAUGGAAAAUUGAUACCACCCGCUCAGAAAAGCUAGAUAAAUGAGGCAAUGUCUCAUCUUAAAUUCGAUCAUCUUAGGCACACUAAUGAAGGCUCCACCCAAAUAUUUUGAACAAGAAUUUGUCCAAGUGAACACAAGACACUGUGCACCUCAUUUUUACAAAAAUCCUAUUUAGACAUAUGAACUCAUGUAGAGUUACUUUUCUGGUUGCACGCCUGUCUGAAAAUUGACUGAAUUGUCUAUUUGUACAAAAGCUUCAAAAAAAUGAAAAAGUAUAUUGAAUUAAUGUUUAAUAUGAUUAAGAAGCAGGAAUUGAGGAACUGAAUUACAGCCAGAACUAUUGUUAGAGCCGUGCUGUUAUAGAAAAUUAAUGAACAUCUGAUCAAAUGAUAUCUGAGAAUUUAACAGGAGAGUAGU